rnacentral:rRNA from 1 species
CGCGGCAAGACGGAAAGACCCCGUGAACCUUUACUAUAGCUUGACACUGAACAUUGAGCCUUGAUGUGUAGGAUAGGUGGGAGGCUUAGAAGUGUGGACGCCAGUCUGCAUGGAGCCGACCUUGAAAUACCACCCUUUAAUGUUUGAUGUUCUAACGUUGACCCGUAAUCCGGGUUGCGGACAGUGUCUGGUGGGUAGUUUGACUGGGGCGGUCUCCUCCUAAAGAGUAACGGAGGAGCACGAAGGUUGGCUAA